AACGAACGCUGGCGGCGUGGAUAAGACAUGCAAGUCGAACGCUGAUUUCAGGGUAGCAAUAUUCUGGAGUCGGAGUGGCGCAAGGGUGCGUAACACGUGGGUAAUUUGCCGUGAAGUUGGGGAUAACUCGCUGAAAGGCGAGCUAAUACCGAAUGUGAUCAUUGGAAGGCAUCUUCUGAUGAUUGAAGUUGGGGACCGCAAGGCCUGACGCUUCACGAUAAGCCCGCGGCCUAUCAGCUAGUUGGUGAGGUAACGGCCCACCAAGGCUUAGACGGGUAGCUGGUCUGAGAGGACGACCAGCCACACUGGAACUGAGACACGGUCCAGACACCUACGGGUGGCAGCAGUCGAGAAUUUUCUCAAUGGGCGAAAGCCUGAAGGAGCGACGCCGCGUGGGGAUGAAUGGCUUCGGCCCGUAAACCCUGUCAUUUGCGAACAAACCUUUCCACCUAACACGUGGAGAGCUGAUUGUAGCG
rnacentral:rRNA from 1 species